rnacentral:rRNA from 1 species
UACAGAGGUCCCAAGCGUUUGUUCGGAUUCACUGGGCGUAAAGGGUGCGUAGGCGGUCGGGUAAGUCGGAUGUGAAAUCCCCAGGCUUAACCUGGGAACUGCAUCCGAUACUGGAUGGCUUGAAUCCGGGAGAGGGAUGCGGAAUUCCAGGUGUAGCGGUGAAAUGCGUAGAUAUCUGGAGGAACACCGGUGGCGAAGGCGGCUCCUGGGCCGGAUACGCUGAGGAGC